GAUUCUACAUUGCCCCAGCUUUCAUGGACAAGCUUGUUGUUCACAUCACCAAGAACUUCAUGACCCUUCCUAACAUUAAGGUCUGUAUGUCACCUAUAACAUAUCUAGUGAAAUCUUUUUUUUUUUAAUAAAAUAGCAUUAAAUUUACCAAAUUUUACUACAAUUGUUUCUAUUACAGGUUCCUCUUAUCUUGGGUGUUUGGGGAGGCAAAGGUCAAGGAAAAUCUUUCCAAUGUGAGCUUGUCUUUGCCAAGAUGGGAAUCAAGUGAGUUCAUGUUUUUUUAGAUGCAAAUUCAAGGUCUUGAGUAUAUGGCGACGGGUGAAGUCAAAAAAUUUUGUGGGCUAUAGUUAAACUAUAAAUUUGAUGAAAUUUUAUUAUUGUAUUAACUUAAAAAUUUACUAGUUUUAAAAGGUUAAAUUAUAAAUUUUCUAUUUUUAGAAGGUUUAUAAUUUAAUUAUAAUUUUUUAGAAGCAAAAUGCAAUUAUUCUUUUGUGUUAACUUAAAAUUUUACAAUCGCUAGAUGAGCUAAACAAAAAUUUACCUUAGCUAAAAUAUUAAAUGUCAAUAACUUUAAUGAUUAAAAUGGAUAAAAGGUAUAAAAUUGAGGGUUAAUUUGGUUGGUUUUUUAAAAUUAGAGUCAAAAUUAAUGAAAUGUGUAAAUAAUUAGGGUCUAUUGUGCAAAUAGAAACAUGCUAAUGAAUUAAUAUAAUGAAUUAACAUCACAGCCCCAUUAUGAUGAGUGCCGGAGAAUUGGAAAGUGGGAACGCCGGAGAACCAGCCAAGUUGAUCAGGCAAAGGUACCGUGAGGCCGCCGACAUUAUCAAGAAAGGGAAAAUGUGUUGCCUCUUCAUCAACGAUCUCGACGCUGGAGCCGGUCGUAUGGGAGGAACCACACAAUACACAGUGAACAACCAAAUGGUGAACGCCACACUCAUGAACAUCGCUGAUAACCCCACCAACGUUCAGCUCCCCGGUAUGUACAACAAGGAAGAGAACCCUCGUGUUCCGAUCAUCGUCACCGGUAACGAUUUCUCGACGCUGUACGCGCCUCUCAUCCGUGACGGUCGUAUGGAGAAGUUUUACUGGGCACCCACCAGGGAAGAUAGGAUCGGUGUUUGCACAGGUAUUUUCAGGACCGACAAUGUUCCCGUUGAUGACCUUGUUAAGCUUGUUGACACCUUCCCGGGCCAAUCCAUUGGUAAGCUUCUCUUUCAACACUUUUUCAAUUCGUGGUCUCUAUACAAAGGUCUAAUUUUUGUUUUAGUCCCUCCACAAUGCUAAAAUUCAAAAGUUAAUCCUUCUAAUCUGGUGUGCUCGCAAGUUAUUCAAGUUUGACUUAAAAAUUCGAAUCUGAUUCAAUCAUUCUCGAGCAACUCAAGCUAUUGAGUAAGUCGAAUUCAAGUAUUUUAGUACUUGAGCCUAAUUUGUAUAUUUUAUGAAUUUAUUUUUAAUACUUUGAUGAUAAAUUACUAGUUCAUCUAAAAAAAUGGGUAUAUAGAACAAGGUCAAGCUUAAACUCGAGUUUGGCUAUACAAUUGUGUGUGAAUGAGCUUAAUUGACCUCAAGCUUAUAUAGUAGUAUUUGAUUUAGCUUGAGCUAAGUUUCAAGCAGUGAGUUCUAAAUUAAAUUUGAGCUUGAACUUCUCAGUAUAUGAGCUCAACUCAACUCGAUUACAAUCCUAUUAAUAGGUCCAAAUUGAUAGCAUCAUAUUCAAUCUACAAUAAAUUUACAUGUCAGCCAAAUCUUUAAGUCUAUUUAGAUAUUCUGAUAACAUUAUAAAAGUAGAGGUAUCGAAUUUUGUCAGAUUAAAUUAACCAUAAUUAAAUCCCAUAGGAAUUAUCAUUAACGGUGUAUUUGCAUGUGUGUGGUUCAAUUUGUAGACUUUUUCGGUGCUCUGAGGGCCAGAGUUUACGAUGACGAAGUGAGGAAAUGGAUCGGAGAGGUCGGAGUCAAUGGUGUCGGGAAAAAGCUCGUGAACUCGAGGGAAGGGCCACCAUCUUUCGAGCAACCGAAGAUGACCAUUGAGAAGCUGUUGGAAUAUGGAUACAUGCUUGUUGCUGAGCAAGAGAAUGUGAAGAGGGUUCAAUUGGCUGACAAAUAUUUGAGUGAAGCUGCCCUUGGAAAUGCUAAUGACGAUGCUAUCAAGAGAGGAGCUUUCUAAAUGGGAAAUUAAGCUCUAAGGGAAGAAAAAAAUCUAUAUUGGGCACAAACAAAGGAAAUCCCCCCUUUGUGUCUUAAUUGAAUGUUGUUUUCCUUUUGUGUUUUAAGUGGAUUUGCAUCCUCUAUUUUUGUGUUAUAAAAUCUCCACUUUGUUCUUGUCUUAAAUGUUUCACUUUAUUUGUUCCAAUCAACUUUUUUUUUUUACAUGAUUAGUUUUGAAUAAAAAAUUUCCUGUUAAAAGAUUGUGUUAUUUGAUAAAAAAAAUUGAAUUUUUUUAUAGGAAAAAUAAUUUUUUUUGGUUUCCAUUUCACGAAAAAAAAUUAUUUUAAUUUUUUAUUUAACUUUUUGCCUCUUUUUAUCUCUUGAACUUAUAUUUUUUUGUCAAAUCACCCAGAAAUUGAUAGAAAAGUUAAUGUUUGUUAACUUUGCUAACGUAGCAUACACGUAGAAUGUCACGGAGAUGACAUGUCAAUAUUUAAUUAAUUUUUUAAAAUUUUAAAAAUUAAUUAAAUGUUGAUGUGGCAUACACAUGGUAAGUUAACCAACUUUAAUUUCCAUCUAUUUUGAAGUGAUUUAAUAAAAAACGUAAGUUUAAGGGUUAAAAAAAGAUGAAAAAAAAUAAAUGGAGGGCUAACAUAACCAAAUAAGUCAUUAUGCCAUAAAAAUAUUAUGCGAAAACUGGAAUUGAGAGAAAAAAAGUUAGACCUAUUAUGUGAAAUAUUGUUUACUUCGUAUUUAUAUAUUAUGUCAUUUAAAUCACAUGAAAAUAAAUUUAUAAUAAUGUAUCGGAAAAAUUAAAAAAUUAUUUAAAAUUUUAAUAAAAAAUACUAAAUUAUUAAAUACUAAACUAAAAAUAGUAUAAAAAAUUUUUUUUAAAAAAAUGAAUGUAUUUAAAACAAGCUAAAGUUAAUUAUCUAAAAAAGCUUAAGUAGGUUAAAAUAAUGACACUAUUUUAUUUUAUAUACUUUACAAGCAAAAUCGAGAAGUUAAUUUUAAGGUAUAGUGAAAAAUUAAAUAUGUAAAAAAUAGAUAAUGAACUAUAAAGUGAGAUUACGUCCUUAAAUUAUCAAUGUUAUAUUAAUAAUGUCUAAGAAAAAUAGAUGUUGUAAAAAUUUAGUUUUAAGAUUUUCGGAGCUUUUAUGAAAGCUAUCGGCCACUCUUUUCUAUUCAAUUUUAUUUUUUUCAGUUUUUAAUUUUAAAAUUCAUGUCUCAAAAUUUAACUUUUCUUUAAACUUUAAUUUUAAAUUAUGCCAUUUUACAUGUAAUUUGAUUGUUAAAUUAACAGUUUCAAUAAUAAAUGGACCUUAUUGAUAUAGCAUCGAUAGUUUAGGGAUGUAAUUAAAAUGUUUUAAAGUUUGGGGAUUAAUUUAGAAUAAAUAUUGUAAUUUGAGGAUGUCUAGUGAAUUAACUCAAAAAUUAUUUUAAAUUAAAUUUAAAUAAAUAUUUUAUUAAUAAAAUAGAAUUCAAAUUAGUCAAAAUUUAGCCUUUUUGCUUCCUUUGGACUUAGAGAUAUAUAAUGGGCUAUUAUUGGCCCAUUUAGAAACCCUUGGGCUUUAGAGAGGAUAAUUUGUUUUAUUAUUGAAGCCCAAAAUAGUAUUUGUCCAUAAAUUUAGAAAUUUACAAAAAAAUACAUACAUAUUUUAAUUAAUUUUAAAAAUGUAAAUCCAACUGCAAACACAAUUAUUAUAUUUUUUAAAUUCAUUUUACAUUAUAAGUAUUAUAUUUUACUUGCAAUUAAUUUUUAAUUUCACAAAUAAAAUUAAAAAAAAUCCUUUUAAUAAAUUUUUAUUGUAUAAAAGAUAAAUGAGAAAGGGACUCGAUUCAUCUAGUAUACAAUGGUGAUGUGCAUGCUUGCAUCAUUGGCAUGACAUCACAUUAAGCAACCUCAUAUGAGGACUUAAUUGAAUAUAAAAUAUAAAUGGAAUAUUAUUAUUUAAAUUUGAAUUAAUUAAGUUAUUUGUUCAAUGCUUAAAAGUUUAUUACAAAAAGUCGAUUACGUUUUAACUGAAUUGGCAUGAGCAUUAUUGUUAAUAUAAGAGGACAUGGGUUUGAAUGCGUUGAAUCGUAUUAUCCUCCUAUUUAUAGGUUGGGGAGGGGCUAUAGAUAGUUCUAAGUAUUUAGUAAAAAAAUAAAUAUAAUCAGAACUUAUAAUAAGAUUACUGCAAAAUUGCAUUUAGUAAAUCUCAAAAUAUAUUUAAUUAUUUAAACCUUAAUUUAUUAUAAAUAAAAACAAAGUGAAUGAAUAUCCAAAUAUACGAAAAUUACACACCCAUCACAUCCCUACUAUAAAAAGAGAAAGUGAUGGCUUACCAAACGAUACGUGCAAUUAGGCUUACGAGUUUUGGUAAAAUUUUGCUUUAGGUCCCGAAAAGAAAUUGAUUUUUAUGGUUUGCAAAAUAAAAUCAUCAUUUCUUUCCAAGAAAGUCCUCUAUGGACUAUAUUAGAAGAGAGUGUCAUUUUGACACUUAACCUUAAAAGUUUUGUCGAAUUGCUUUUUGUUAGAUUAAAAAAAUUGAAUGAAUUGGUAAAAUGUUAACGUUAUUGAUAUGGCAGCUCGUGUGACAAUUCACACGUACUUUAUUGUUGACAUUGAUAAUUUUUUUAAAUUUUUUUAUGAUUUUUUAUGAAGUACAUGCCUAAUGAUGGUGGCCUUGCCCCCUUAAAAAGGAAAAGUUUUGUUUAAGUCCCUUUAAAACCAUAAAAUUGUAAUUUAAUAUCUUUUAGAAAUUAUAAAGUUAAAAACUUCCAAUGAAAAAAUUGCAAUUUCACUCUCAGUAAAUUUAUAAUUUAAUUUUGGCCACUCCAAAAAAUUUCCUAGCUUCGCCCCUUAUAUAGGGGUGAGUAAAAUCCAAUUUGAUUUUAAAAACUCGAUAAAAUAUUAAAAUUUUGAAUUAAAUAGUUCGAGUUAAUAGAGUUAUUUGGAUCAACUUGAAUAAAAAAUCAAAAUUUUCAAUUUAAAUCAAAUAUGAAUUGCACAAUUUGAGUUAUCCGAAAAUUCGAAUAAAAAAAGGCAAAACUAUUUCUAAAGUUAAAAGUCAAAACUGUGCCGUUUUAAUAAAUAUUUACCCGUUAAGUUAAAAGAUAAAACCAUUAUAUUAUUUAUUUAAUUAAAUAAUCUCGUAUUUUAUCUACUGAUUAAAUAAUAAAUUUAUGUAAACCUAAUAGUGAGUUAAAUAAUGGUUGGAUGGACGGUUAUGGAAAGACACUCAGCUUACAGUCAACUGAAAUAACAUGGAAUCUGCAGGCGGCGUGGUCCACGUUUAAAAUAACAUGGGGCCAGCACGCGGCAUGGGAUCAAAACAUGUAGACCCCACGUGGAUACAUUUUUUCUCUCGCUCUCGCUUUCUAUACUGUGCCCUACAGGAUCAUGAAUCUUCAUGCUACUUCUUCAUACAGUCUUUUAAUCAACCCAGGUGUCACAAGCUGGGUUGAUCUGUGGUGGACGGCAGAAAGUGGCUUGGGUUAAUGGUCCACCUCAAUUACACGUUUACCACAAAAAAGAGAAAAAGUACUAAGAAAAAAGAAAACCAUAAUGAAAUAUAAAUUUCUUUUAAUGCUUAAUCUCAAGAUCCGCCAUUAACGAUAAAUUAUGUUUUAGUUGAAAUGAUGAAAUAGAAAUAUACGGGUUUUUUUUGAUUUUAUAAAUAAUAUAAACAGAUUAAAAUAUACUUAUAAUAAUAUAAAUUAUUUUGUAAAAAUAUCUUUUUUUUAAGGUUUGUACUUGUCGUUUUUAAUAAUGUUGUCUCUAAAGUUUAAAUUUAUAUUUUCUCUUUGUGAGUGCAAUGUGUCUUACCGUAAUAUUUUUACUUGAAUUCGUAUUCGAUUAACUCAUUACACCAAUUUAAUUAAAAUUUGUAUUAUGGUAGACAUAAUAAUAACAUUAGAAGAAAGUUUUCAAAAGUUUUUAGCUACGAAUGUUUCAAAUAUAAAUUAUUACAAUUUAAAUGAUAGGAGAAGAACUAAAUAAAUGUAGUAUAAUCGUGUUAAAUAGAGACGAACUUAAAAAAUUAUUUUAAGAGGAUCGUAGAUGGAUCAUAAAUUAUUAUGGGUAAGGUAUAAUUUUAUCAUUAUAAAAAUAUAUAAGUGCAUGGGUUCUUUUUACAUGUUUAUUAAUUUUUUUUUGAAUAAUCUCAUUUUAGGUUCUGAUCAUAUAUGUUCCUUUUGACACAAUACUUAAAACUACCUAUAGUCUCCCCAACCCAUAAAUAAGAGGAUAAUACGUUUCAGCUCACUAAAACCCACAUCCUCCUGCAUCGGUACAAUCGAGUUAAAACACAAUCGGCAUAUGUAUAUUAAAUUUAAGUGAAGUGAUAUGGUUUAAUCUAAUCUAGAGUUUGUCUUUUGGACAAAUUUUUAAUAAUGAUGAUUUAACUUUUUGUGUGUGUGUUUAAUUUGAUUAAAUUAUUAAGUAACAUGGAUAUUUAAUUUAAUAAAUAAUUCCCAAAAGUUUGGUGAAGUAGCCACUAACAUGAUAGUAGAAGAAAGUGUAUUUUCUAAUACAACGUGUGUUUAUUUGACAUUUGGUGUUUGUAUUCAUUCCAUUGAUUAAAUUAAUACUUAAAACUUUAAAUAUAAAAUCCAUAAAAUGGUCAGACCAUGCAGGUAAUGGUUAAAAUAAUAGGGCAUUAGAUUAUGUUAUUUAAUUUUUACCUAAAAUUAUAUUGUUUUUCAUGCUUUGGUCAACAUUUGAUUUUUUUUAUAUUAGUAGUUUAUAUAUCUUAAUUUAAUAGGCAAUGUUAAAAAUUAUCAAAUAUCUCGUUUUUUAUUAAAUUAUUUUUUAAUAAAUUUUUUUGCAUAAGCUCGGAACGAACGGAGAUAGAAUCAGACUGAUUCCCUAAGUGCUUUUUUGGACGUUCUUCAAUGUCCUGGCUAUUCACGGAAUGUGGGAAAUGGAUGAAUAAUCAUCUGCUUCCGGAAGAAAUUGAAGGAUUUCUUGGGAAUCCUACAAGAUCCAUUCGUUCUUUUUUUCUCUAAUAGAUGGUCAGAACUUCAUCUGGGUUCGAAUCCUACUGAGAGGUCCACUAGAAAUCAGAAAUUGUUGAAGAAAGAAUAAGAUGUUUCUCUUGUCCCUUCUAGGCGAUCAAAAAAUAAAGAAAUAGUUGAUAUGGUUCCGAAAGAUGAACUGGGCAGUUCCAAUAAGAUUUCAUUCUUGAACAAAAAUGGAACCAAACUGGAUCUAGUGUAUUUUAAGGGAUUUGCCUUUUCUAUUGAUUCCUACGGAUUGAAUUUUUUUUUGAAUAAGCUCAUUAUAAGUUCUGAUCAUAUCUGCCUUUUUGAUACAAUGUUUAGAACUACUCAUAGUCCAUCCCCAACCUAUAAAUAGGAGGAUAAUGUGCUUUAGCGCACUCGAACCCAUGUCCUCAUGUAUUGGUAACAAUACCCAUGCCAAUUGAGUUAUAAUUCAAGCGACAUUUUUUAGUAUUUUAUUAAAUAUUUAUUUAUUAAAUUAUUUUUAGUAUUUUAAAAAAUAUAUAUUUUACCUUAAAAAUAAAAAUAAAAUUUUAUAUUUCAAAUUUGCUAUUUGUUAAUAUUAAUAAAGCUUAAAUAUGCAUUUGGUUGGAAAACUUUGAUGAGGAUAGUGGAUGAAAAGUAUGUUUGGGUAUUAAGUUAUGAUAAAAAUAAAUAAAAAUAUAAGAAUCAAAUUGAUAAAAGAAAUCAAGUUCUUAGACUAAAUGCAUAAUUGACCAUAUUAAUAUCUACCUAUUGAAAUUUAAACUUUUAAUGGAGAGGUUAAUUAAAGAAACACCAAUUUAAAAAAAACAAUUAGGGAUUUAGGUUUUUUUUUUCUAAAUUUAAGGAAAUAGGUCAAUUUUGGAGAGAGAAAUAGAAAACACGUCUUGCAAUGCUUCCUGCAAGACAUGUUUUCUGUCUUUUUUAAAAUAUAUAUUUUUGUUGGGUGUUGAAAAUUUUGGGAGAAAAUUUAUUUGUGUUAGUGUUUGAGUUUGACAUUGUGAUAGUUUUAAGGUAUGUUUAAGUUUACGGUGAUGCGAUAGUGCUUGGAGACCCACACAUUUUAUCUGUUAGUGGGGAUAGAAUCAUCACUUUAGAAUCCCAUCGAAUUGCAACUCAGGCUCUUAGUUCACGGUGGUUAUAUGGUCGUGGGUUAAAGUAUAAGUCGGGCCCCCAGUAGAUGGUGGUUAUGUGGUCACGGGUUCAAGUUUUAUAAUACUGAAAGAAAAUACUUUAUAAACCUCAUACAUAAGUUUGAGAUCAUAAUCAUAGGGGGAAAAAUGACUUUCAAAUAUAAUCAACUUAUUCUUUUUCUCCAUCUCCACCAAAGGUAAUAUCCUUAACCUCAUUGUCUAUAAUUUGUGACAGAGUUGGGAGCAAGAAGGCUUUUAGGGGGAGGAGUGAUUGCGAUGGUGGAGAAUAAGUUGAAACUCGAGUCGAGUCGAGUCGAGUCGAGGCGGUAGUGGUUGUAGUUAUUAAUGAGUUCUUUAAUCAUACAAAUCACAUACAAAACAAUACAAAAAUUAUUUUUUUCUUAAAUUGUAAAUAAGUAUAUUAUUAAUGUAAAAUAGAAUAGAACAACUUUUUUAUUAUAUAAUUGGAAUAAGUAAUUAUGGAUGGAAAAAUUCAAUAUAAUACAAAUUAAAAUUUAAUAAAGCAAAUGAUGAUUUACAUGACAAAAAUUUAAAUAAAAUAUUCAUCGGCAUCGCCGGCCCGAAUGUGUGCCACAACUUGGUAGGUGUCGGUUACGAGAAGGAUUUCGUUAUAGUUGGAGUUUCAACUCCUCAUAUUCUUCAUCUUUACUUCGACCUCCAUGUUGAUCUCCAUCUUCAUCUUCAUCUCCUUCUUCCGUGCUAGAGUGCAUUUGGAUCCUAGGUUCCCAUCGUAUAUCGCUCGUUGUAUUAAUAGGUGGUUGCAAAAAUGACCCACCUCUAUAGAACAGUGAUGUUGAAGGUGUUUGCAACACUACCAGUGGAUAAGUGUAUUGUGUCGCAUAAUCCGAUUGUGAAUAGAAUGUUGGAAUUGUCGGUAAUGGUAGAUACAUCGGUGUUGUUUUCGGCAUUGGCGUGUAAUAUGGUCCUAGGAUGGUUGUAGUGCAAAAAAUAUACAUAGAGAAGGUUUUAAUGCAUAGUAUGAUGGUGUAUAAUGUGGUGCUUGUGUAAAAAAAAAAACGGGGUAGUGAAAUUACAAAAAAAUAUGAACCAUAUUGAUCGGGAGGUUGCGCACCCAUCGGUGCCUCAUGUGGGGUUGGAGUUGAUGAUGAUUCCAUCGAGGCAUGUACUCCCGACCUAGGAUUCAUGCAGGGUCGUCUUGGCUGCCUACAACGAUAUUGUUUGCUCCUUUCCUCCUCUAGCAGUAGAUAUAACUUACUAUGAAGUCUAAACCAUGUCAUGUAAUUCGGAGAGGUCGCCAAAUCUGGUGGGGGAAUUGGUUUGCGCAUAGGUAUGAAAUCGUAACUAUACUCCUAAAUGUAGAUAUAUUUGGCAUGGAAUUUCAGCCAAUCUUCAUUGGUUUUUCCCUGUAAGUCGAUAUUAUGUUAUUCAUCGAGAUCCUGGGGUGACAGUGGAUUAAUUUGCUUAAACCUAAACUAGCACAUCACUCGAUUGAAUUCGUGCAUUUUGACAGUUUAACAACCUAUCAAUGACACUUUGACAAGCCAAAUAUUGCGAUUGGCCAAAAAUUCUGCCAGGAUGCAUUCUUGAAUUCUUGGAUCAGAGUAUGACAUCUAUUCAAACUAUAGUAUGAAAUUAUAAAUUUUAUUAUGGACCUAAUAUUAAAUUUCAAAUUCUUACGUAAAUAUUAUAUAAUUUAAAAUUCAAAAAACUAACCUCGGCUUCAAAUCAUUGAUCUAACAAUAACCGGAUAUCUUCGAGCUUGUCUGGUAUACCUACAUGACUCGUGUCAUUCUUCCAUCUAUUUAAAUAAUAUUCUAUUCAAAAAAUAUAAUAGUGAAAAAAAUAUUAUGAUACUUAUAUUAUCAAAUGAAUUUUACCUUAUUACGAGUAAGAAUUCAUAAGGGGUGUUUACUCGAGACAUAAAAAUGAUAGCCAGUACCAUGUACAUGAUUGAAGGACUAUGCAACCAUCGAUUUUAAUUUUUUGUGAUUUCAUUGCUCGACACAUCUCUUGGUACAGUGUCGCCAACACAGUUGAUCCCCAACUGAGUCAUCCCGCUUCUUUCAAGUCGACUAGUUGUAGUAGCCACCUUAAAUGUAUUAGAUUUCAAGAUUUAUCAGGCAUUAGAAGCCUCCCUAUUAACCUUAGGAUGAAUGCUCCUGCAUAUUGUUCUCUUUCAACUACACUCAUAGAGUUGUCGAUAUAAUUGAAAUUGUCUUCUAACCAUUUCAUCUCUAUCAAACUACCACUAAACUUGUCCAAUACAUUUCCUAAUAGUUGCUCGUAAAUCGUGCUCCAAUCGCCAAUGCCCACUACCCACAUAACGACUGUCUCAUCCACUGGUAAACCAAGUUGUUAUCCAACGUCCUCAAGUGUAAUUGUACACUCACCGCACAGAAGAUGGAAUAUGUGUCUCGGGUCUCCAUCUUUUCACCAAAACACUGAUAAGUGUGAGAUCCAAUUUAGUCCCCCCGAGCAUACGAGACACGUGCAAGAAUCCCUCCUCUUGCAAGUGUUGUUCAAUAAUACGCGGUGCCCUUUCACUUAAAUUGUGUAUGUACGUCUCCAUAAUAUGAUAUUAGUCUGAUUAUAUAAACAUAAAAAGAUGAUAAAAUUAAUAGCGUUAACAACUUAAUAAUUGAAUUAGUUAAAAUAAAAAAAAUUAAUAAUAUUUUCUUAACAUUUGCAAUUGAAUGUCGGAAAUGUACUUACCAUCUAAACGAAUAAGUGACAUUAACAUUUUUAAAAUUAUAAAAUUAAAUAAAAUCAAAGAAAUUAGAAAAUAUAAAAUUAAAACAAGAAGGAUUUGAAAGAAAUUAAAUGAAAAAUUAAGAACUAAAUAAUUAAAAAAAUUUACAGAUUAAAAUUUGAAUGCAAAUGAUAGAAAAUGAGUUAAGGGUCCUUUUGUUUACAUGUAAAAGGUUUUACGGAAAAUAUUUUUCGUAUUUUCCUGUGUUUGUUUCACAAAAAACAGCUUGGUCAGCUAAAAAUAACUUACAGGUCAACGGAAAAUAAGCAUUUUUCAUUGUAAAAUGACUUACCAUUUUGAAAAGCGUAAGUCAUUUUCCGAAGAAGAGCUCAUCAAUAGAUUAUUUUACUUUUAUAUAAGAAUUAACUUAAAUCAAGUUUAAUAUUAUUAUAUUGAUAAUAAAUUUUAUUUUUAAAAAUAUUUAAAAUAUUAAUAUAAAAUAUUAUAUUUUUAAUAUUAUUAAACAUACGUAUUUAAUUAUUUAUAUUUAGUUAUAUAAUAAAUUAUUUAUAUAAUUAAUAUAAUUUAUUAUUUUUAAUAAAUUAUUUAAUAUUUAAAUUUUAUUUUAAUAGUAAGUUUAAAAAAAUAAUUUUAAAUAAUAUUAUUCACAUGUUAUUGAAAAUAUCAAUAUUAAUAUUUUAAUACUAAAUAUUUAUUAUAAUUAUAAAUAUAUUAAUAAUAAAUGUUUUGUAGUAUAAAAGUUAAAAUAUGUCAUAAGUCUAUAUACUCUUCACAAAUUUACAAUUUAGUUUCUGUACUUUUAUUUUUAAGAAUUUAGUCCCUCUACUUUCUAGAUUUGAAAAUCAAGUCCAACUGCUGACAUUGUUGAUUUUUUUUGUCAAUUUUGUUAAUGUCACAUUUUUAAAUAAAAAAUACUCAGUUGGUAGUCAUGUAACUAAAAAAUGAUCAUUGCAAUGAACUUAAAUUGAACAAAAUAUUUUUAAUAUAUGUAAAAACAAUGUAAAAUAUAAAAUUAUGGAUAUAAAAUAAACUCAAUUAAACAAUGAAAAAAUAAAAAAAAUCUCAUAUGUAUGUUUAUUUAAUUGAAAACGACUUUUAUGAAAUAUUUUUAAAGAAUCUGCCAAACAAAAAAAAUAUUUUAUACAGAUUUAUCUAAACACUAAAAAAUAUUAUUUUUUUCAAAAAAGUAAGUUAUUUUUUAGAAACCAUUUUUCAGAAGCCUGUAAAGUAAAUAAACUAGUUGACAUUAACUAUUAGAGUGACCAUUAGAUGAAAACGCGUCUAAGAUUUUCGGCGAUAUUCAUGUGAAAAGGUGAAAGAUUCAUCAAACUCUAUGUUAAUUUCACUCAAGAAGUAGAAUUGCAUCAUUUCUAAAGGUUUGAAUUUCCUCGUAAUUCCCUGUAAAUCCUCACCUGAGUUCAUACACCAGUAAUUAGUCCUUUAAUUCCCACCUUAGCUAUAAAUCUCUCUUUAGCUCUCCUUUCUAUUCUCAUUUUCUUCAACCCCAAAAAGCAAAAAUUUCAAUCCCAAUUCCCCUUUGCAUGGCAAAGGAGUUGUUUUUUUUCUGGGUUUCUCUUGUUUUUUCAUCAAACCCAGUUUUUUCUCACUUCAUCUUCAAUGGGUUUCAUGAUUCAGGCGACCAAAUGAGCUUAAAUGGAGUUGCAGGCAUUACAAAGAGUGGGUUACUCCGUUUAACCAAUAUUACCCAAGAUGCAAUUGGCAGAGCUUUUUACUCAUCUCCUUUUCAGUUCAAGAACUCCAGCAAUGGCAAAGCUUUUUCUUUUUCAACAGCUUUUGCUUUCGCCAUGGCUCCUGCGUACCCAACCCUUGGUGGCGGCCAUGGCCUUGCUUUUGUUCUUUCUCCUUCAAAACAAAUUGCAGGUUAUCACAGUCAAUAUCUAGGCUUGCAUAAUCCAAGUGAUCAUCAUGGGAAUAAUUCAAGUAACCAUGUUUUUGCAGUAGAGUUUGAUACUUGGAGAAAUCUAGAGUUUGGUGAUAAAGAUGACAAUCAUGUUGGCAUUGAUUUGAGUAGCAUGCAUUCAAAUGCUUCAGCAACUGCUGGAUAUUUCCUUGAGAACUCAACAAUGCAAAAGUUGAAUCUCAAUAGUGGGAAAGUGAUUCAAGCUUGGAUUGAUUAUGAUUCAGCUAUAAAUCGAUUAGAGGUUAAGCUUUCAACUUUAUCUAAGAAACCCAAAAAAUCAAUCUUGUCCUUUGGUGUUGAUCUCUCACCAUUUCUCCAUGAUUCCAUGUUUGUGGGGUUUUCAGCUUCAACAGGUAAGCUUGCAAGCUCUCACUACAUCUUGGGAUGGAGUUUUAACAUGAGUGGAGAGGCUGAAUCUUUGUCUUUACCUUCUUUACCUUCACUUCCAAGGCCUAAACAAAACUACACUGCCUUAAUCCUAUGUGUCAUAUUUCCAGCUGUUCUUUUAAUGAUAUCACUUGCUUUCAUCUCGUUUUACCUUGUUAGGAACAUGAAGAAUUUAGACAUGAUUGAGGCUAAGGACCUUGAGAUUGGUCCUCAAAGGUUUUCUUAUCAAGAACUCAAGAAAGCAACAAAGGGUUUCAAAGACAAAGAGCUACUUGGUUUUGGUGGAUUUGGCAGAGUUUACAAAGGAACUCUGCCAACCACAAACACUCAAGUUGCUGUCAAACGAAUCUCUCAUGAAUCAAAGCAAGGGAUAAGAGAAUUCCUGUCUGAGAUUUAUAGUAUCGGUCGACUUCGCCAUAGAAAUCUUGUUCAGUUUCUAGGAUGGUGUCAAUGCAGAGGUGAUCUCUUAUUAGUCUAUGAUUUUAUGCCUUGUGGUAGCUUGGAUAAGUACCUGUUUGAUGAGCCAAAACAAGUUCUAAGUUGGGAACAUAGGUUCAAGAUCAUCAAAGGUGUGGCUUCAGGUCUUUUGUAUUUGCAUGAAGAAUGGGAACAAACUGUAAUUCAUAGAGACAUCAAGGCAGGCAAUAUUCUGCUAGAUUCUGAGCUAAAUGGAAGACUUGGUGACUUUGGUUUAGCCAAGUUAUAUGACCACGGCUCGAACCCGGGCUCGACCACGGUGGUUGGCACAUUUGGGUACUUGGCACCUGAGCUUCCAAGAACUGGUAAGCCUAGUACAAGUACUGAUGUGUUUGCAUUUGGUGCACUUUUGCUUGAAGUGGCAUGUGGGAGGAGACCUAUUGACCCAAAGGCAUUGCCUGAGGAGCUGAUCUUGGUGGAGUGGGUGUAUGAGAAGUGGCAAAGUGGGGCAGUUCUUGAAGUUGUGGAUUCAAAAUUGAAAGGCGACUUUGAUGAGUGUGAGGCUAUUCUUGUGAUUAAACUGGGCUUGAUGUGUUCCAAUGAAGUGCCAGAGGCGAGGCCUACAAUGAAGCAAGUUGUAAGGUACUUGGAGGGGGAAGUGGCACUGCCGAAACUGGUGCCAUCACCUGGUGGAUAUGGUAGAAACGAGGGCAAUCGAAGUGACAGUAUCGCGUUCGAAGAUUAUGUGCAUUCGUAUCGAAAUUCAUCGUCCGCAUGCUCAUCGGCUUUUGAAAACCAGGACAUAGAUGUUGAAGCAGGUUUAACAACACAUAUCAAUCUCAGCAGAGGAAAUGGCAGAUAGCCAUUGAAGAGCAAGACAGAGUUCUUUGCCUUUUUAGGAAUGUUUUUAGAGAAAUGCUUUUUUUUCCUUCUCUUCAAGGAUUGUUAAAAGGAUUAUAUUUUUGUAUUAUGUUCAAAGAAAUGUUUUGUAAAAAAGGGUAAAAACAAAAACUGUAAUUGCAAUAGUGCUUCGACCUGUGAUUACAAUUUUAACUACGAAAUAAAUAAAAAUACUUUCUUACAAUACAACUAAUGAUUCAAGUCUUAGCACUUGCAACCUCACCAUUAUACAAAAAUUACAUCACUCUCCCACUAGCUUAUCCUUCGCAAGCUUAGCUUGCUUACAAAAACAAUACACAUAUACACAUCCCUCACAUGAAUAAAGUUGUGCUCUAUAAAAUGUGACUUUACUUGUUCCGCAAGUAACUUGACUUAAUCAUCAAGAAACUUCAAAUCUUUAAUUUUAAUUUAAUUGGUCUUUACUCAUCCAAAAUCAUAAAAGAUAAAUAGUCAAAUGCUUUUGUUCUAAAAUUUAAAACUUAAUUGGUCUAAUUUUGGUUUUAAGUCCCUCCACAAUGCUAAAACUUGAAAUUUAUUUUUUCUCCUUUAAUUUGACAUAAUUCCGUCCCUACUCUCUUUAUUUUUUGAAUUGCUAAUUUUCCGUUAUUUCAUUAACAUUUUCUGUUAAUUCUAUUUGAAAAUCCAAGCAUAAUCAUAAAUUUACCCCUUAAUUCUUAUAACUUUGGUUGCCUCCAUAUUUUUUCUUUUAUAAAUCAGUCCUCAAUCUUUUAUUUUUGUAGUUGAACAAGAAAAAAAGCAUUUAGUUUUUGUAAAAUUGAACAAAUUCCACAACAAUUUAGUGGAAUCCCUAAACAUUACACUAGAUGCUGAUAUGACAACUCGUGUUUUAUGUUGAAAAUUUAAAAAUUAUAAAAAAAAUUAAAAAAAUUGUUUUAUUUUAAUUUUAAACAUUAAGCAUAUUUUAAUUUCCCGCUAAUUCUGCUUGUGGAAACUAAAAACUUUUUACGUUCAUUAAUAUUCAAAGCUAAUAAUUCCAAUUGAUUAAAAGUUUAACUUUAAAAUGUUAUUCCUUUAAAUUAUGUUCUUUCAAUACCAAUUAAGUACGUAUAUUACACUCUCAUACAAACCUUUUCAACAUUUAAUCUUUAUUUAAACAUCGAUCUCUCAAGUUAAAAGGCUUAAUGCAUAUUUUAGUUCCUAAAAUAUAUUGGACUUUUUUAACUUUGGUUAUUAAAGUUUUUCUUAUCCAUUUCAGUCCCUAAUAUUAUCAGAUUUUUCUAGUUUAGUCCUUUGAACUCGACUAAAAUAUCUAACCAAUCAUAUACUGCUACAUGUCAUACAAUGUCAUCCGAAAAAGCAUUAAAAAUCUUUAAAAAUGAAAAAGUACAAAAAUUAAAAGAAGUUACAAAAUUAUUAAAAAUUGAAAAAAAUUAUAAAAUUACAAAAAAUUAUAUAAAUAAUUACUUAAAUUACUAAAUUUUUUUAAAAAAGUAGAAAUUUUAAUAUUUUUAAAAUUAUAUGAACCACAUUUCCUAGAGUAUGAGGUUAUUGUCUCUUGGAAGGAUAUCGCAUAUGAUAAUUAUCUUACGAUUCAAACAAUCAAAAUUUGGAUUUUUUUCAAAUUAUUUAAAUAAAAAAAUAGUAUUUAUUAUUUAAAUGAUCGUUCAAUUUCUAGUAACUGUGAUUUAUAAAAUUUUAAAAAUAUUAAAUAUAUUUUUUAAAACUUUUAAUAAAUUUUUAUAUUGUUUUUGUAAAUUUUUAAAGAUUUUUUACGAUUUUCGAAUGAUAACGUGGUAGCAUAUGAUUGACUAAAUAUUCUAGUAAUUAGUUUUUAAUGUCCAAAGGUCUAAAUUGGGAAUAUCUAAUAAUAUUAGAGACCGAAGUAAGCUAAGAAAACUUUAAAAACUAAUAUAUAUAUAUUUUAAAGACUAAAUUGUGCAUUAAGCCAAAUUUAAACAUUUUUCUUAAUCUCUAUCUAGCAAUUACAGAAAAUAGAUAUUAUACUUCCAUAUAGAAAAUUUAACAAAUCUUUGCUACUGAGUAGACCACAAUUGUUAAUUUCUUUUUGAAAAAUGAAAUUCGUUCAAUAUUUUUUAAAUUUGAUUAUCGGCUGGGUUUGGACUACGAAAAAUUAGUUUAAAAUUUUAUCUAAACUCAGCUCAGAUUAAAAAUGCUAAACUCGAACUCGAUCUGACUCGCCCGUAUUAAAUUCUGUUAGAUUAUUUUUUAUAUAAAAAUAAAUUUAAACAAUAUAAUACAUUAAAUACAUUAAGAACAUUAAAAUAAAUGUUUCCCAACAAAUUGAAAAUACAGAAAUCUUCAUACUUAAAUAACAAUAAGAUAGUUGUAGCUUAACAAGCAAAUACCUCUAAAAUAGUAGCAAAAUUAACAAUAAAACAAUAGUUAUACAAUAUCCAAACAAUAACAACAAAAUAGUAACAAUAUAAUAAUGAAAUGGUAGCAAAACAAUAACAAAAUAACUGAUUCGGGCCGAACCCAAACCAAAAAAUUCUACCCGAUGCUUGACCCAUUUAGAAAAUAGACAUUAUUUUUUGUCUCAACCCUUUUUUUCAAGCCUAUCUAAAGUUUUCAAACACUUCACAUUUUUUCCACUAUUAUUCCUAUCUAAAGUUUUCAAGGCUGCCAUUUUGACAACAUCAUUGCUUUCAGCAAAACCUCUCAAGUUUCCUAGUUUAACAAGAAGUACCUUUUGUAGACGAAGAAAACCUCGAGCCAGAGCAAGUGGAAAGACAUAUUUUAGAUUUGGGCAUUCUUUUAUCUCCAUAUUUUUCAAGUUCGGCAAAUAAAGUGUGUUGGAUUCAGCAUUACUUUCCACCUCCAUGAAAACUCUUUUCAGUUCAUUGCAACCAACUAUCUUGAGUUCUUCCAGUACUAUUAGGCUUCGAACAAUGGAUAUUGAGAAGAGAGAUUCCAAUUUCUCCCAGCUUAUUAUUUCUAAAACCUUUAGACAUUCGAGGUCGACACAAUGGGUGGGGCUUUUUACUAUCCAUCUCAAGUCUGGUAAAGACGAUAACUCCAAAAGCUCCAAAUUUGAGAGUAGUGGUGCUGCGUUAUUUGCUUCAUCAACUCGGAAUAUCUCAGACAUGCAGGCGAAUUAACACUCAAUUAUUUGAGACCCAUCAUUGUUUUUGAUGUAUCAACCAAGCAUUCACCACCCUCUCAAUUGAGAAUUUUAAGGGAAAUUAAUUCAUCUAGAAUUUUAAGGCUGAUCCUUGUGUUACAAGGUUAGAACUUAAAUCUAGCAAACCGUGCGACCUUAAGCUGAUUUGAGGUAAUUUUUUUGCUUCAAAUUCGCUUAAGUUAACUUAACUAUAAAAAAUAAGAAUUUUUAAAUUAAGAAUUCUUUAACCAAAUAAAGCAAUUCAACAAAUGUUUGAGUAAAUGUUCUCAAUAUAUUUUUUAACUCAAAAAAUAAAGUGGGAAAUGUCUCUAUUUAUGGUUGAGUUUUCCCAAAUCCAACGGUACAAAUUAAAUUAUAUUAACAGUUGAGAUUAAUGCCUAUUACAAAUGAGAACAUUACAUGUAUAAAACUUGCUUGGUAGGCAGCUUUGAAAACAUUACAUGUAUAAAACUUAACUAAACCAGGCACAGAUUCAAUUAAAUAACUAGGAAAGGAGAAAAAGAAAGCACCUUGAGGAUAGCCUUCUCAUCUUUUAAAUGAACAAAUGAAUCAGUUAAUAGAGGGCAGGCCGACACUGAAAACUCCGUCAAUGGUUUCGGAAACUGCACGGGUCGGGGCGCGUCCCUUCCUUCAUUGCAUCUGACCACUUGCUUCAAUUGAGGGCAAUCAUGAAUAGGAAGAUUUUCAAGCUCCGGAAGCUCUUGUGGCGCCAUCAAAGCCGGAAAAAUAUACUCCAAACCAUCACACUUUACUAUGUAGAGUUCUCGUAACUUUGGGAAACACAAAGAAUCAUGAGGAUCGACGCUCGAUGAUAUUUCUCCUUCAUCAUCUUCCAAUUCUGUGACAAUUUGCUUCAAUCCAUGACAGUCAGAUAUCUCAAGGAUUUCUAAGAGCAUCAAACUUUAAGCAAGACAAAGUGGAAAGAGUGAGUUCAAACUUGGGCAAUUAUCUUAUCCUCAGUUCAACUAAACCUUCCUUUCUUGGCCUUUGGCCCAAGUUAAAGAGAUUAUCCGGGGUCGUUUAAGGAGGAAGACCAAUUAAUAGAAUUGAUCCCGUUAAUGGUUCACUUUAUGUUUCUUGCGAUAUUAUUGAUUAAUUUAUUUAUAUAACUUCAAAGUUAUUUUUUAGUAUUUUUAUGUUCUUUUGUAGCAGUUUAAUUGCCUUUUUGGAUUAAUGAAUUUCAUCAUUCAUUCAAAAAAAUUAAUUUUCAAAUAUUUUAUUUCAAUUUAAUUAUAUCAAUAUAUAAAUAUUGAUAUAAAAAUAUAUUUUAUUAUUUUUAAAAUCAAACCUCGAUCCAGUUUGAUUUAUGAACACUUCUAAUUUUUACUAGUGAGGAGAUAUAUGAGUUAAAUCAAUAAGACAUUAAUGUUUGUUUGUAUCUAUAUUAUAUAUAAAAUAGCUGAGUGAGUUGGUGUCAUGAGUGAACACGAUACCAAUUUAGUUGUGAGAUAUUAAAUACCCUUACUUUUAAAGGCAAUUAAUAUUAUUAUAAAUGUAUUUUUACCUUUCAAUACUUUUAUACAAAAUCUUAAAUAAAACAACUGAAAAAUACUAUUUGAAAAUUAAACAGAAGUCCAACAAUUUUAAAUUGAAAUCUCUUACAGCUACACCAAUAAUCAUUUGUUAAAAUAAUUUAUUAUUUUUUAAUAUAAAAUAUUUUUAUUCACCCAUAUAGUUUAGAACCAAUGUAUCCGGUAAUAAAAAAAAAACAGAUUUUAGCUUAUAAGCAGUUCUUGAAGCUGUGGAUCCAAAAUUGAAUGGUGAAUUUGUUGUGCCUGAGGCAGUUCUUGUGAUCAAACUCCGGUUGAUGUGUUCCAACGAUGCGCCCGAGGAAAGACCUAGUUGGUGGGGGAGUGGCACCACCACAACCAGUGCCAUCACCUGGUGGACAUGGUGGCAAACAUAUCGAGCUCAUCAUUUGAAAUUUUCGUCCAAAACAAUGUUCGACAAAUUUUCACAAUAACUAAUAUCGUAUAAUCAAUUGUUUAGGCUUUUUUUUUUCGCAUUUUUAAUCUAAAUCACAUCAAUCAUUGAAUCAUUGCUUUAUUGAGAAUGCUAACGGGAAAUUUGUCAACUUGUCUUUCUUUUUUAUUUUUCAAACUAGCUGAGACCCCAUUAAAGUGUCUCUUGUCAAAUUAUUUAUGGGACAUAAAGUGAAAGAAUCUUAUGCUCAAAAGCAACAAUAGUAACGUGGAGAUCACAUGAUUGGUACCUUUGAAAUCAAACUCUAUAUCUUUUGUAGUGAGAAUUAUGAUAUACAUUGACCCCCCCACUAUCUCAUGUUGGAAAAAAAGAAAGUGUAUGAUAAUUAACAGCUUUUGAAAUAUAUAAUCAUCAUUUAUGUGAUCAUAAAACUCUUGAUUAUGCUUUGAUUUGCAUAAGUUUCAAGCUCUUGGGAAGGAGUGGCAAUCAUGAUUUAUUAUGUUACUCGAAUUCCACAGAUUGUUUAUGUGAAUACGUAGUGUAAAUAUUCGGAUUUUCAUAUUUGUGAAUGUACGGAAUAUAAAUAAGUUUUUAGUAAAGUAAAACAGUAUAAGUGAGACAAGCGAACAAAUUAGAAUUCGUCAGAAGUAACUCUCUAAUCGAAGACGGAAGUUCCUCCAAUAGAUGAAAUUUCAAUAACUUUGGAUCUUCAAUUUUGGCCAAAAUAUCUGCCAUUGUAUUUUGCGCCCGAGGAAUAUGUUUGAUACGAACCUCCCAAGAUCAAAUAAGCAUGUGAUGUAUCAAUCGAAGUUCCGUCAACCUGCUAUUUGCAGCACCGCCAACAAGAAUAAUCUCAAUCAACAAAGCGGUAUCACACUCCAAUUCCAACUUCUGAAAUCCUUUGUUUCAUGCUAAGUGAAGCCCUUCAAGCAUCGCCCUUGCUUCAACCUGAAAUACUGUACCUUCUACAAUCGACAUUGAAAAACCACAUUGCCACAACCCAUUAACAUCUCUAAUAACACCUCCAACAGAGGCACAAGCCCUUGAAGAGAACACAACACCAUUAGUAUUAAAUUUAACAUAACCCUCUUCAGGAGGUGACCAUUGUGAACCUAUUACCCGAGGAUGAGAAUGAAAACGUAUCUGUAUGCUCGAGGUUGCAUAAGUUUUAUGGAAGAUAGUAGAUGAAACUAUAGCAGUCAUGAUUUAUUAUGUUACUUGAAUUCAAUCUAAUUGUUUACAAAAGUGUAAAACAUGAGAACGAAUGUGUUCGAUUUAAAGAAUGGGUUUUCAAAUUCAUGUAUGACAAACAAAUGUUGGGUGUAAUGGUAAGGUACAUUGUAGUCCCAAAAGGAGAUAAAUUCAAAUUUUGGAGAUGACAUUAUUGGAGGGGCAAUCACGAAACUCGAAUAUGGACAGUUAAACGGACAUAAAAAUUGAGAUUAACUAAAUGUAUCCAAAUAUUCGAUUUAAAUAAAUUUAAAGAUUUUGGAAGAAAUUAUACCAAUCAUACUCAAAUUGAGUAUUGAUUUUUUUUUCAAAUUUUGGUAUGUGAAACAUGAAUAUUUAAAGAAAAUGAAAAAUGGAGCUAAUAAAAAAGUAACUAUAUCUUUAGCGGUUUAAAUCUUCUUUUAAUAGCGAAAAAGUGGCAGACCACUCUUUAACAUGUAGUUACUCUUUAAACCUUAGCAAAAGACCAGCAAGCAGUUUCACUUUCAUUCAUCAAAUUUCAAAAAACAAAAUGCCAAAAUCUUCAAAUCAUUUUAUCUUCUUGUUUCUUUCCUGCAUUUUCGUUUCCACAGGUACAGAAAAUUUUUCCCAGAUUUUUGGUCUAAGCAUUGCAUUUUUCAUCACUAAAAAUGGUUUACUAUUUUCUCGCAGAUGCCAUCCAACUGGUACUAGUAAACAACUGCAAAGAAACAAUAUGGCCAGGAAUCCUCGGCGGCGCCGGCCACGAAACACCCCGAGGCGGCGGCUUCCCUCUCAACUGCGGCGAACAAACAACCCUCGAACUCCCUGAAAGAUGGUCGGGUCGAAUCUGGCCAAGACAAGGUUGCUGUUUCGACGAAACCGGCAAAGGCUCAUGUCAAACAGGUGAUUGUUCAGGCCUUUUACAGUGCCAAGGCAUCGGCGGAAAUCCACCGGCAACGCUCGUUGAAAUGACACUCGGUGGUCCAACAUCGGGUCUACAUUACUACGACGUGAGCUUAGUCGAUGGAUUCAAUGUCCCCGUCUCAAUGGUCCCUAUAGGUGGUGGCGUUGGGUGUGGAGUAGCCGCCUGUGAGACUGAUUUAAACGUUUGUUGCCCGGCGGCAUUGGUGGUGAAGAAAGAAGGGAAAGUGGUGGGGUGUAAGAGUGCAUGUUUAGCUGCUAAAACCGAUAGGUAUUGUUGCACCGGUGAGUUUGGGGAUCCAAAAAGCUGUAAGCCCACCAUUUUUGCUCAUCUUUUUAAAGCUAUUUGUCCAAGAGCUUAUAGCUACGCUUUUGAUGAUGCUUCAAGUCUUAAAACUUGUAGGGCUCCUAGGUAUCUCAUUACCUUUUGUCCUCCUAACUGAUGUCGUUUCAUUGUUGAGAUCAUUGAGUUUCUAUUAUGGUUUGAGGUUUUUUCCUUAUGUUAUUAGUAAAUUGUUGAAUUUGUUGCUUUAAUUGUAUGUUUUUGAAUUGAUUUCAUGGUAGCUAUGAUGGUAUCUUUUUGUUGUGUAUGAUCUUUAUAAUGUUCUGACUUGAAUCUUUUACUAGAAUCCAAGGUUUUGGUUUUACUUAAAAUAUUAACAAACCAUCAAAAUCACACACAUAUUUUGCUUAACUCAUAUCUGCAUAUAUACUCAUUUGAUUUUGUAUCAUAUAAUUUCUUUCUAUAAACUUUGAAGGCUUGGUGGGGAACUAAAAGUCCAACAUUCUACUAAUGGACCACAUGUCUAUUAGUGGAUCAUGGCUUUAAAUUCUCUCAGAUAGACUUAGCUUGUCAAAUAAGUUUUUUUUGGAUUGGGUGAACUUAAAAUUUUUUUAGGUUUUAUUUGGAUUUGAAAUUUGACUUCAGGUCAUUUGGGAUUAUUUGUUUCUAUCAUUUUUAAAGCGCUUUAGUCAUUUUGGAUUAGGUUAGUUUUAAGUUUAGAUAUUUUUGGUUUGAGUUUGAGACCUUUGGAUCAUUUUGGGUUUAGUUUAUUUUUCUGAUUUUGUCAUUUUUUAUCAUUAUGAGUUCAAAUUAUUUUAGAUUCAAUUCAUUUUAAUAUCAAAUCAUUUUGGGGUUUGGGUUAAUUCAAUUUGAGUUAUUAAUUUUUUUAUAAUUAAAUCUCAGCUUUAUUUGAAUUUAGAUUAAUCAUUUUGAUUCGCAAUCAUAAAGAUAAUACAUCUCAAUCGCUAUAAUCACUGCAACCAGAAUUAAACAUUAUAAACCCUUAAAAGAAAUUUAAAGUUGCAAAGAACUCUGUCCUCAUUAAAGCUUUUGACAAUCUUGAUUCUUCAUCCACAAACUUUUUUAUUAAAAAAUAAAUUAAAAUUCCAAGUUGGAUGAUUAAUUUCUCCCAUGAAUAUCAUAAUAUAUUUUACCUAGUAAUCCUAACAUGAAUUCUUAACAUUAAUUGCAUAAUAAAAUAGAUGAGGCAUGUGCUUAGGUUCCAUAACAAUUUCAACAUAUAAUAAAUUGAAAGUUCAUCUCAAUUUAGUAUUACAAUGAUCAAAUCCCACUUUUCACCCACCAUUUUUAAGUAUCAAGUCAAAACCAGAAGCAAAGCUCCCAAAUUUUUGCUGGAAGAUAAACCAAGUUCCCAUUGAAAGAAUCAACUUUGCUACCAUUUUUGCUAUUAAUGGAGCUCAAAGUUGUAAAAGCAAGUGUUGAGAAGGGGGAGGGAUUGGGAUGGGGCAAAUCUUUGCUAGUUCCAAGCAUCCAAGAGAUAUUGAAGAAUGAUUCUCAAUCAGUCCCUGAAAGAUACAUACAAGAACCGAAAGACAGGCCAUUAAUUUCUCAGAACCUGUUUGAUUCACUUCAAGUCCCCGUCAUAGAUUUCUCCAUGUUAGCUCAAAAGGAUGCAAAUGAAAUAAGGAAGCUAGAUCUUGCCUGCAAGGAGUGGGGCUUUUUCCAGGUAAAACCAAACACCUGUAUUAAGCACAUAUUCGUAUUUGACACUCACCCGGGGUUAUCCUAUUUUUGUAGAUAAUAAAUCAUGGGGUUAGAGAGGAGAUCAUGGUUAACAUGAAGGCAGCUAUGGCAGCUUUCUUUGAAUUGCCAUUCCAAGAGAAAUCCAAGUGUGCAAAGGGAGCUAAUGAGAUUCAAGGGUAUGGGCAAAACUUUGUGGUCUCAGAGAAACAGAAACUUGAUUGGUGUGACAUGAUGUUCUUAAAGACAUUUCCCCAUGAAACCAGGAAUUUCAAGUUUUGGCCACUCACUUUACCAGGUUUCAAGUAUGCAUUCUUUCUUGUUUGUUAAGCUAUUAUGUUACUCGGGCAAUACAGGUAUGUAUCUGAUACGGAUAUGUUGAAACAGAGAGGCGGUGGAAGAAUAUUCAACAGAAAUACGAAAGGUUUCGAACAAGAUCGAUGCUAACUUAUCGGUGUUAAUGGGGAUGGACAAAAAUGGAUUGAAAAGGAAGCUAGGAGAGUUUCAACAAGGAAUAAGAAUGAACUAUUAUCCAACAUGUUCAAGGCCUGAUCUUGUUCUUGGUAUUAGUCCUCAUUCUGAUGGAAGUCUAUUCACUUUGCUACUACAAGAUGAUGAGAUCAAUGGCCUUCAAAUUAAGCACAAAGAAGUAUGGAUUGAUGCUAAACCAAUCCCGAAUUCUCUUGUGGUCAACAUUGGUGAUGCUAUCGAGGUUAGCUAUAAUGUUUUUAUGAGUCAAAAGAUUUUACCAAUGGUCAAAUUUUGCAUUAGCCCCUAUAUUAUGUGUGAUGGAUACUCGAAUGGUAGCUAUUAAAUUCAUUAAGUCAAAUUCAUCCCUUAGAAAAAAAUUUCUAAAUUCUAGCAUAAUGACUUAAUGGAUUUAAUUUGACCUUUAUCAAUCCUAGAAUACAAAUUCUGUUUCCUGUCUUGUUUUUAUCAGAUUCUGAGCAAUGGAAUGUAUAAAAGCAUUGAACAUAGAGCUAUCAGCAAUGAGAAGAAACCCAGAAUGUCAAUUGCAACAUUUGUGAUGCCAGGUGAUGAAGUCCAAAUAGGUCCACUGGAUUCAAUGGUGAAUGAGAAGCAUCUCCCUAGAAGUUAUAGAAACAUCAAGUACAUCGAUUACAUCAGGCAAAAGUUCGCCAUGAAAAUGCAGGGAAAAGCUCACACCGCCAUUGUUAAGCUAUAAAGCAAAAUCAAAAUGCUAGCUCUGUUCUUCAUGUCUGUUUUGUAACAAGUCAAUUUAUGAUAACUCACCACUCUUUAAAACAAGAGUAGUAUUGAAUUCUACAUUGCAUAACUCUAACAAUCAAAUUAUUGAAUUCUGUUGUAUAAAAAAUAUCUUGAAAAUUAAAUUUUUUACAAAAAAUUUCAUUUACAAAACUAUAAAAACUUUACCAGACUAAUUUGAUAACGUAAUAAUAACAAAUUAGGUUCUGAUUAUAUCUAUUUUUUUUAUAGAAUGUUUAGUACUAAUUAUAGCCCCUCCCAACUUAUAAAUGGGAGGAUAAUGAGUUUCAGCAUACUCGAAACCACGUCCUUUUGCAUUGGCAACAAUGCGCAUGCCAAUCAAACUAAGACUCAAUCGACUUUAAAAAAUACAUUUAAAUUUAUUAAAAUUUAUACAAAAUUUAUCGAUAUGUCAAAAUUUUUAUAAAUGUUAUAUAUACCAAAUGUAUAUAUUGAAUAUGAUGAUGACUAUAGGAAAAAAAAAAACAAUAUGAAUAUACAAGAUACAAAAUUUGGGAGUAAAUGUCAUGUUGAUGUAGUUAUGCUACACUCAUAUUACUUUUUAUACAAUGUUUGUAUUUUUUUAUUUAGAAUAUCAUGAAUAUACAAUUACAUGCAAUUAAUUCAUUUCAUAUAGAAUUCAAUUUAGAGAAUAAUUUGUAUGUUAAUUUUAUAUUAUAUUUCUAUUAAUCUCGUAUUUUACAUAAUUUUUAAUAUCUAUAAUUUAUAGAAGAAUAUUAAUUCAUAUUUUUUUGUUUGUUUUUUUUCUUGUAAUUAAAAUGUUAUGAAUUUCUAUAAAAUUUUACAUGCUGGCUUGAAACUUUGGAAAUUUUAGUUACUUUAUGAUUUUUAAUAUAUCUUGAGAUUUUUUUAAAUUUUUUUUAUUAGAAUGUUUAAAUUUUGAAACUACGAUCACAACAUUUGUGAAAAAUUGUUAAAAAAAAAAAUCCUCUUUAUAGAAUUUUAGGUUUUUUUUUUCAAAAUUUUAGAAAAAGAAGUUGGAAAUUUUUAUGAUUUAAUAUUAUUAAGAAUUUUUAUAUAUAUUUUUAGUGUUAAAUUAUUUAUUAUUUUCUGAACUUUAUAUAAAUUUUAAUGAAUUUUUUGAAUUUUUUAAAAUAAUUUUUAAAGAUAAUUUUUAUUUUUAUUUUUUAAAAAUUUAAAACUUUUGGAAGUUUUUUAAAUUCUUUGAAUUUUUAAAUAAUACUUUUAAAUUUUAAAAUAUAUUUUUAAAUUAUUAUUAUUAUUAUAUAACUUUUAAGUUUUAAGUUUUUUUUUGACAUUUUUGAUUUUUUAUGAUUUUUUCGACUUUUAGAUUUUCUUUGAUUUUUGAAAAAAAAAAUUCAGCCAACCCUUAUUAAUUUUUCUUAUUUACUCACUUUGAAAAAGUAGAAGAAUUAAAUUAAAUUUUUAGAGAUCAAUUUACCUAAUUUUAAAAUUGACAAAACCUGUCGAUUGAGUUUUAGCUCAAUUGUCAUUGACAUUGUUGCCAAUACAGGAAUAUGUGGGUUCAAGUGCGUUGAAAUACAUUAUCCUCCUAUUUAUGGGUUAGGGAGUGACUAUAGUUCUAGGCAUUGUGUCAAAAAGAACAAAUAUGAUCAGAACAAAUAUGAUCAGAACUUAUAAUAAAAUUGUUUAAAAAUUGACAAAAACAUGUUCUGAGAACGGACUCAAAUGGGGCACAAACAUUUUCUUUCUUUAACAAAGGAAAAAGACUGGAUUUCCCCAUCACAACAAAAACUUUACAUAUUGGAGUUGUCAAUUAUCCAAUAUUCUUCAAUCUUCAAUUAAGGAUUUUCAGGACACAUUUAGUUAAGGGUUCUCAAUGCAUAAGCGGCACCUUUUAUACUAAGUCAUAGAUUCGAUUUUAUUUUUGUUAUAUAUGAGAAUAUAUCGGUGUAAAACUAAAAUAGUUUUAUAUCCUUUCGUAUGAUUAAUAUUUUAAUGAUUAAACCGUCAUAUUUCAUUCAUAUAUAUUAUGCAUGUCAAGUUUAACAUGAUAAAACUUUCAACCGUUCAAUAAAUAUUAAUAUAUACAUUAUUUUAGAGAUAAAAAUAUCGAAUCAAUUAAAAAAAUUAUUUACAUAACAAGUACAAUUAUAUUAAUAGAUUCAAGGAGUUUUACAUUAAUGUAAAUGGAUCCCUUUCUAUAUAAUAAUACUAAUACUAAUACUAAUAAUAAUAAUGGAAGUAGAACAAUCAAAUUUAAUCCGAACUUAAAAACCUAAUUUGAUUAAUCCGAAUUUAAAUUUAAUUUAAUCUUAGCUAAAAAUAAUUCGAACAAAUAAUCUUAAAUAACUUACAGAAAUUGAUUCAAAUCUAAACUAAUUUAAACCGGAAAUUAUUUGAAAGUUUUAGAAUUCAAAUUCACCCUACUCAAAACAUGUUUAAAUGGAAGUGAAUGGUUUACAAGUAGAAAUAGAAUAAGAACAAUUAUGAUUAAGAUAGGAUUACAACUUCACUUAAAACUUUAUUUAGGCGUCGUUUAAGUUUUAGUUUGAUUGACAUAGACAUUGUUGUUAUUGCAAGAAGAUGUGGGUUUGAGUGGCUAAAGCGCAUUAUCUUUCUAUUUAUGAGUUCAGGAGGGACUAUGGAUAGUUUUAGAUAUUGUGUAAAAAAAAUAUAAUCAAAACUUAUUAUGAGAUCCUUUAAAAAAAAUAAAAAAUAAAAAUGAAUUUUUUUGAAUUAAAAAUAAAUAAUUAAUUUGUGUAUGACACGUGGUAAUAAACUAAUAUAAAUAUAUUAUCUAGAAAAUAAAAAUUAUUAAUAUAUAAAAAUUUAUAUAAAUAAAAUAUUCUUUUAAACACAAUUAAGAAAUUUAUAAACUAAGGGUCUGUUUGAUUGGCGUAUUUCAUUUUCCGGAAAACAUUUUCCCUCUUUUACGGUGUUUGAUUGACCAAAGGAAUUGAUUUUCCGGAAAAGCAACUUCAACACACGGGAAAAUCAAGCCCUUCUUUGCGUAAAAUGUCUUACAGAUUUUUUUUCCGUAAGACAUUUUCCGGAAAACACAGCUUCAACCUCUCAUUUCCUCCUCAUUUCCUCUCCGUCCAUCAACGUCAGCCUCUCCUCCUCAUCGGUGUGCUUCUUCUUCUUGGGUUAUCAACAGGUUCUGUUCUCCUUUUCUCUGUGUAUUAUUUUUGUUGAUCGUGAUUUUUUCUUGGGUGUGCCUUUCCUCCUUUUCUCUGCUGUUUUUCCUCCUCUACUUUCUUGAUCUAAUUUUUUUUUUGUUUCUUUGAUUGAGUUUUUAUUUCAGUUAUUUUCUAAUUUCAGUUUUGAUUGUUAAGGGUUUCUGCAAAUGGGUAGUUUUCUGCAAAUAUUUUCUGCAAAUCAGUUUCUGGGUUAACUGGAAAAUGGGUAAUUUGGAUACUUUAGCACCCCAUCAUGCAUGCGUAUGCUAUAUAGCUUCUGCAAUGUUUGCUAAAUUUCAUCUGUAAGUUCUCUUGACCUCCAACUUGGUCGAUUUAAGGAAGGAGAAAAGUAUGAAUAUUUUGGCUGAUCAUCAAUGUCUCAUUUACAUUCUUAUAAAAAAGAAUACAUUUUUUAACUAGAAGAAUAUCAGUCUUAUUUUAUCAUACAUUAUAGAUGGUCAAAAGUCAGCAACUGCAUUUGUUCUGCAUUUGUAGCUUUCAAUCAACUUGGAAGCUUAAAUGAGUGUCGAAACUUGUUCUGCAUUUGUAGCUUUUAAAGGUGCUUUAGUUGGAUGGUCAUGAUUAUCAUAUUGUUGCAAUUUAUUGUCUUGUUUUAUUAGUUAAUAGGAGUAAAUGUAAAAUGUUCAUUGGCUUUUAAAAUGUUGGAAUUCUUUGAAUUACUUGAAAUGCUUAAUGAUGUAAACUUGAAGUGCUUUUUUUUUUGAUAAAGAUGGUUACUGAUAUUAUUGGAUUCUUAUCAAUCUGGUUUUCUUUACUAAAGAACCUUGAUUUGUGUUCAAUGAUAGUGGGCUGAUGUUGCUGGCUUUGGAUGCUAGCCAGAUUCCUGCUUAUUUCAUACCUGCUUUGGGACCUGUUCCCAAGUGGUGUUCUUCGCUGGAAUCUCUUACGGUGUGUUUUUAACUUGUAUCCUAAUCAAUUUUUGUUUUAUCCUUUUAUUGGAUGUACUAUGUUGGGAUAUGCAGAUGUGGUGCACUAGUGUUUACUUUGUAUAUAUUUUACAGGAAGAGCUUGAGGAGGGUGGACAAACAAGCAUAUAUGACAACUAUAAAUUUUUAACAAAAGAGGAUCUUGAGAAGUUGAAUUUGACAAAUCUAAUUGGGACCAAUCUUCUGCGAGCCUACAUGCACGGGUUCUUUAUUGAAUUUCGUUUGUACAAAAAGGCAAGACUGCUAUUCUUUUUAUUAUUUCUUGUUAAGGAUAUCAUGCAGCUUAAAAACUCCGGAUAAUUGCAUUGUGUCACCUGCUGGAAAUUUGUCUGGUUGGGUGUGUGAAACACGAAAUAUCUAGAAGUAAAUAAAAGUUGAGAUGCAGAAACAAAAAAAAUGAGUUCAGAGUUGCUAGAUUAAAUUCAGAAAGAGAGUUAUGUAAUUUUUCUUUUUUCUGAUCAGAUAGUGCUUUCAAUGCUCAAUGUGGUUCUUUUGUACAUCUUCACUAUUUUGCUGUUUAAUAUUCAUAUUUUUACAUAUAUUUCAAUAUUCUUACUAGUACUCAUUGUGGAUAAUAUUUUUUUAAUUUAUAACAAUCAAUAUUGUAGCUUAUUAUUGAGUAUUAUUAUAAAUAAAUUAUUGCAAUAUAUGUAAAAACAAUUUUAAAAUAUAAAAAUUUAUUAAUAUAUAUUAAUAUAUGUAAAAAACAACUUUUCUGGAAAAUAUUUUCAGGAAAUCUGUCAAACAGCAGAAAAUAUUUUACACUGAUUCAAUCAAACACCAGAAAAUAUUUUCCAGUAAGUCAUUUUACAGAAAAGUAAAACAUUUUCCAGAAAUCAUUUUACGGAAAAUAUUUUACUGCCAAUCAAACAUACCCUAAUUAAUACACAAAUUACCAAUUCAGUAGUAUCCCAAGCAUGAAAAACGAGGCCAUGAGUAUUAAAUUGAAAACUUGAAGUUUACACCUUUGCCGAAAUGGAUCGAUGCCUGCCAUAAAUCACAUUUCUAUAAAUAUAGCCUCAUAAAACCAAGUUUUAUUUUUGGCAUAAUUAGCAGCAAUGGUAAUGAAAACCCAAUUUUGUUACGUCCCAUUUUGAGAAAUAUAAUGAUUUUUUUAAAAAAAAUUUGAGGACUCAGGUUGUAUAUAUAUAUUUAUCGGAAUAUGCUGUUUUUAGAGAGAAAAAUGAAAACGCACUUUAUAAGACGCGUUUUCAAGUCAAAGGUAACUUUCCCCCCAACAGUCACAAUUCCAAUAGCUACAAUACCCCAACAACCAUAUUUUUUUCCUAUAUAAACCCCUCCAAACUUCAUUCUUUUCAAUUCAAACUCAAUUCUCUCGAUAAUUUUGUUUUAAAUCUUUCUCUGAAUCCUAUUCUUUUCGAUUUUAUUUUAUUCCUUAUAAUUUGUAAAAUAAAAAAAUCAGCUUAUUCGUUUGGAUGACAAUCACAUCUCCGACGUUCAAUUAUAAAUGAUAAGAAAAUAUUUUUAAAUUAUUUAAUUUUAAUUAGUUAACUAUUAUGCUAUUAACAUUAUUAAUUUUUUUAUGUUUAUAUACUCAGAUCGAAGAUCAGAUUUUGGAGACGUGCAUACACAAUUUAAGCAAGAGUGGAUCCGUUUUCAUUUAUGGAAACUUGCGAUGUCACAUCCCGAAAAUCGGGUUAGUAGAAUUGGGUUUUUAAGUUGAGGGUUAGAGUCCGGAAUUAAAAUUAGGGUCAUAGAUAAGUAAUUAAAGUAUUAAAGUAACACAAUUGGGUUUUUUUAUUAGCUAGCUUAAAACAAAAUUUAAUUUUGAGGUCUAAUUUGAAAAAAAUGGAUUUUAGUUGGGUUAGGAACUAAUUGAAAAUGGAGAGAAACAGAGAGUGACCAAAAUGGCAAAUUAGUCUUCUACCUACAGUAUACCACUGUCUUCUUCUUUCUUAAACCAACUUAUCCUUUCAAAUUUAUUAACCUCUCAAACACUAAAACAACCCCCAAUUUCAAAAGAAAAUCACGUUUUCAACAAAUUAGAGUUGUAGAUCAUCGUUUUCAACAAAUUAAGGUAAUAUUCUAACUUUUUAGGACUAAAUAAAGAGUUCUUUUAAUUCAAAUUGAGUUUUAAACGAUUGUAUGAGGAUUUAUUUAGAUUUAAUGUUUUCAAAGCAAGCUUUAAUUCAAAAAUGACAAAUCUCAAAAUCUUGAGUAAACUAGUGUUUUCAAAGUUGUUUUUGGUUCAUUCUAACCUAAUUAGAAGGUAUUCCAUCUCAAUUUGAUAGAUCCUAAUCGAUUUUUUAAGAAUCAAGCAUUUUCCCUCUUUUACAUGUUUUUGGAAGCUUGAUUUUUUCAAAAAUUUUAGAACCAUGGAUUUAGGUAAAAUUGAUGGUUUAAAUAUGAAAUUAAAUGAUAUUUAAGAUAUUUGAAAUCAAAUUGAGGAUUAUAAAUGAGAUUAUAAUGUCGAAACUUUAAUUUCGACAAAACUAGCUAGUAUUUGGUAAUCAGAAAUGAGAGGCUUGAAUUGUGUUUUCCUUGCUGUGUGGUUGCGUUCAAGGUUAUUUUUAAUGAUCUUGGAAAGGGUUUGUUGUGUGUGAAAAGUGUCAGAUUAAUUGGGAGCCACUACAAGCAAGUCAAAAGGUAAGGAAAAGUUUGUUUGAGCUUUCGGUUAGUAAGCAGAAGCGUGAUUGGUGAGUGUCUGAAGUCUCUGGUGGUGUGCGCAAUUCGUAUUGUUAAUCGAGAUCUUAGGAUUAGCCUAAACCCUUAUCCUAUGUUUCAACAGUAAGCUUUCUUCUAUUCUUUUUUGCCUUGUUGUAAAAUUAUGCCUAAUAAGGAUGAGUUGUGAUAUGUGAUGCUAUUACAGCAGGUAAUAUAUGAAAUUACGUGAAUAUGAUAUAUGAUAUAUGAUAUACUUAUUUUAAUACACACAUAUGUGGUCUGAUAUAUGAUAGCUCAAUGAGCAUUAUUGUGCCACUUAAAGUGCAAAUAAAUGUGAAUUCGAUAAGCAUGAAUUGUGUAUGAGAUUGUAAUGUGAAUUGAUGAAUAUGAACAGAGGUUAUAUGCAUUAAAACAGUGGUUAAAUAUGUGUAAUUCUGGAUAUUUUGGCCUUGUGUUCUCUUAAAACUAUUGGAUAUGGUUGGCAUGUCAUAGGAUUAUGAGUACUCAUCCUUGUGUUUGGGAUUUGGGUGUUGAGGCCCCGGGACAUGUUGGAGAGAUAAGAGAAUGUCGAGCUAAGCUCUAUUUAUCGGGAAAUUUUGGUGUGUUGGAGAGUGUUUAGCUUAAUGCUACACUUAUGGGACAUGUUAGACACUUUAAGUAAUUGGUGUGUUGGAGAUCCGUUUAUCCAAUGUGUGGUGAUAAAGUCCACUUUUAUGUUUCAUAAUCUCAAACUGCCAAAUUAUCAUUAUUUGAAUUAUAUAUAUAUAUGAAAUAUGUUUUAUGUAAAUGCAUGUGAGAGUAUAUGCUAGGCUUGUGAGAUAAUGAAGCGUGAUUAUAUUAUUUUGACUUGAUGAAUAUAUGGUUGCGAAUGUGCUUUAGUAUGCUCUUGCUUAACUUAUGAUGUCGUGCAUGCUUUGUGGUAAUUUCGAACAUUCACUGAGCUUAUUUAAGGUCACACACUCCUCAUUCACUGAGCUUAACUUAAUUUCGUAUAGAUACCUAACAUACAAAUAUCAAUACUGGCCUAUUUGGUAUUAAUACUUACGUUGGAUUUUUAUCUCUUAAAGUUUAUUAUGGUAGCCAUUUUCCUUAAUUAUUAUGGUGAAUGUAUUUAUAUAACUUUCGAUAGUUGUUGUAGUAUCUUGUAAUUCGGGUUUGACGACUAAACCGAGUGAGGGGUGUUACAUGUGAGAUGCGAGAUUCUUAUACGUGGCUCAUAUGCUUGGGAGGACUAAGUUGGACCCCCUACUUAUUAGUGCUUUGGUGGAAAGAUGGAGGCUGAAGACAGACAUAUUCCAUCUUCUUUAAAGUGAGUGUACAAUUACACUCGAGGAUGUUGGUUUACAACUCGGUCUAUCGAUCGAUGGGGAAGUCAUUACGGGGCCAGUGGUGAGUGUCAAUUGGAGUGCAACAUGAGAGAAACUACUAGGAAAUGUGUCGACCAAGUUUAAGGGUAGUCAGACUGAGAUGGGAUGAUUGGAUGACAACUUCAAAACUGUCGAGGCUUUCGCAUGUGACAUUGAAAAACAAUAAUUCUCGUGCUGAUAAUACUCUAGAAUGACAUAUUUUUAUGUAUUUAUUACAUAUUUAUUUUGAGUAUGAUCCUACUAAUUUGAGCUAUUUAUGGUUUUUGAUCUUGUAGGGACUAAAUUGAAGGUAAAAGGAAAUUUAAGGGAAAAAGUGUGAAUUUAAAGAUAAAAUGGGCCAAUAAAUUUAGGGGAAAAAGCAUGAAUUUAAAGAAAAAAUGGGCCAGUAUGCGAAAUAGGAAAGAAGUGGUGCCUAAAAUGCAAAGUGUGAAAGACUUGGGGGUAAAAGUUCAAAGAAGAGAUUUUAUAGCAAAAGACUCUAUUUAAAUUUAAAUUAUAUUUUAGGAUUAUUGUAAAGAUUAUUAUUUAGAUUUAAUUUCAACUUUUUAUCUUUAUUUAUCUUUUAGAAUUUAAAUAGGAACAAACUAGGUUUUCUAAGUACUAUAAAUAUGGGAUGGAGUCACACAAAUUUCAAUCAACUUUUCUAAAACAGCUCCAUCUACCAAAAAGCUCUAACUUUUGUUCCUUUCAUUUAUAUUAAGUUUAUUUCUUUUUCCCCCAAAAGCAUGAACCACUAAAUUUAUCUAGUCAAAGGUUGUCGAGAUUUCCCAAAAAGGGUUCAUGAGGCUUAGAAUCUGCAUUUAGCCUUCUCAAUGAAUAUUUAUCAUUUCUCCGCACUACGGGACUGACGCUUUCAUCCAUGUCCCUUCAAAAGUUGCAUCUUAUGUAAAGGCGGCCACUUUGUAUGUUUUGGGAAGGUUGCACAGUCAGUUUGUUAGCUUAUUGUGUCAGUGGUUGUUGAGCUUAAGAGAGAAAAUGGCGUGGCAUUCGCCAUCGAGAAGUGAUGAUCUAGUGUAAGACGGUCCCACAAAAGUGAUGGUUGGCUAGAGUCUUGUUCCUCUAUAUCAUAAGUCUAAAAUCUAAGUGGAUAUGGAGGUCGUAAGUGUCCUUUUCCACUAUAACUGGCUUAUUCUGUUAUGAGAAAGGUCAUCUAAAAGUCUAGGAUUGAACCUACAGAGGAUCGAGAUAACCGAAGGCUGAAAUCUCUCCAUCAAAGACUCUAUUUUUACAAUUUUAAUUUCAAUUUGCACAAUCUCAAUUCAUCCAAACUUUUAAUUCUGUUUUUUCAUUUUUUUUAGGUUCACCAUUUUUCUUGGGCACAACUCUGCCCGGGAUCUCAAGGAACAGGAAUUUGUGUAAAUCUAGUCCCUGAGGAUUUGACCCUACAUCCCUUAUACUAUUCGUUUUGUUAUUUUAUAGGGAUAAGAAAUUUUUUGUGCUUUCAUCGACACAUCAAAUUUUGGCGUCGUUGCUGGGGACUGGUACCGUACUAAUCUUGUUUCUUUUGUUUCUUAUAACUAGACCUACUUCAGGUAUUCUUGUGUUUGGUUCAGAAAUACAGAAGACUGCGGGAGCCAAUCGCAAGGAAACGAAGUUACAGAAAAAGUAGUCAAGGGUUGUAGGGACUGAAAGUAAUCCACCGACGAAAAUAAAAAUAGACGACGAGAUUGAGUCUAAGGUUAACGAAAACCCUACUUAAACACUAGAAAACGAAAGAAUCGGAGUCGAUCCAACAGAAGAAGUGCUUAAUGUUAGGGUUAAUGAGAACCCAAAUCUAACACAUCAACCAAUGGCUCAAACAAUCCAGCAAACGGCUGAAACUCAUGCAGAACAAAAACCAUUAUGCAUUGCGUAUCCUACUAUGGAUACUGAUUUUGAAUUGAAGUCAGGAUUAAUCCAGUUACUGCCAACUUUUCGUGGGUUGCAAAACGAAAAUCCCCACAAACAUCUGAAAAAGUUUCUUAUGGUUUGUCUUAGCAUGAAACCUCAGGGUGUAACUGAGGAUCAAAUCAAAUUGCAUGUAACACCCCCUUACCUGAGACCGUUUUUGGAGUCGAGCACGAGGCGUUAUCUGACUUAACUUACUAGUUCGGAACACAAAAAUUUGCUUUUAAAAUUAAUUUCACUAUUCCCAACAAAAUUUUCCACCUGCGCAAUUGUUACUAAUUUAAUUAUAACUCGAGUUAAAAAACUAAAAAUUUAUAUUCAUAAAUUUUUUAUGAAACUAGACUUAUAUACCUUCUUACCAUAAAAUUUCUAGAAUUUUUGGCUUAGCCAAUUAGUACAUUUUAUUCGUUAAAUUCUUCCCUGUUUCACAGCUUGACAGUUCUGACCUCUUGUCGCUAAAAAUCAAUUAUCUCAUUGUACAAAAUUAAUAUAAUGUUAUAAUUUGAUUAUUUUGAAAAUAUACUCACUAAGGAAUCUAGACAUAUAAAUUAUGUCCCAUAAUUAUUUAUGUACAAUUUUUAAUGAAUUUCUAAAGUCAGAACAGAAGACUUCAAAAACCAUUCUGCCCCUGUCUCACUAAAAUUCAAAUAUCUCAAAAUAUAAAAUUCCUUUUCCUACACCGUUUCUUUCAUGUAAAAAUAUACUUGAUAAGAUUUAAUUCUAUAUAUAAUUCACUCUCUAAUUCCAUUUCUACUAUUUUUGGUGAUUUUUUAACAUCACGUCACUGCUGCUGUCCAAAAACUGCUUCUUUGUAUUAGCUACCAUUUAAACAUAUAUAACACCAAAACAUGUUCUUUACUAACCAUUUCAAUAGCUAAUCUUUAGCCAUAUCAUAUGAACAUACUCAAAAUGAAUAAGUCUCUAUACAUGCCAUAGCUUCAAAUGUUUUGAAAUCACAUAAUACCAAGAUGUCUGUUGAUAGUGUGAUACGAAGCUCCGACGAUCCCCAAUUCGAGUAAGCUCAAAACACUAUAAAACAAAGGAAAUGAAGAAAGGAGUAAGCUACUAAUAGCUUAGUAAGUUACAUGUAAACAAUAAGCACUCAUUUAAUAAUUAACAUUUUUUAACAUAUAACUAAUCAAUACAUUUCUUAGCAAUUUCAAUCACUUAUAUAUGCACAAUCUUACCAAAUUCACUUGCAUAUACAUUUACACACUUAACCUUUAUCACAUAUGCUCAUUCUUUCAAAUGUACCUGCAUACACACCUCAUUCAUAUUCACUUUAACUCAUUAUUAAUCUCGUUGAACACUCGGAAUAUACACAGAUACAUAGAGAGUUAGCACAUAAGUGCCACACUGAUAUGUAGCCGAAGCUAUCACUGAAAUGUAGCCGAAGCUACCACUGAUCAAUAAUACUGGAAAUGUCCACGGGCCUGCUCAUACAAGCUGUCAGGUACCUGCAACACAUGCUAGAUCACCCAGCACCCGGGACUCACUGUAACACUGGUCUCUAGUGACAUGUCACUUGUAUCCACUUCUAUUCCUAAGUUCAACCGGGAAUUUACACUUAACACUUUAUUUUAAACACUUUAUCACUUGAAUAAUUCAUGAACAAUUUUCCUUCCACAUUAAAUAUUAAUUCACAUAUCAAAUAUAAUUCACAAUUUAUAAAAAUAUAUUGCUAUUAUUUACACGUAACUUACCUCGGAUGCAAAACGACUAUUUUCGUAAAUUAGUCGAAAACCUUCUCUUUUCCCCGAUCACUUUCACUAUUCCUUUUUCUUGAUCUAUAUUAACACAAUUUAAUAUAUUUUAUCAACAUUCCAUUCAAAUACAAUUCAUACACAAUAUUUUGGCAAACUUAUAUUUUUUCCCAUAACUUUUCAAAAUUACACUUUUGCCCUAAAGCUCGUAAAAAUAAAAUUCACUAAAUUUCUUAAAUUUUAAACCUCACUAAAUCAUAUUUCAUGCUCAUAACAGCCCUCAAUUUCACAAAAUCACAACUUUAUGCACACUUUACUAUCUUUCACAAUUUAGUCCUUUUUCAAUAUUUUUAUCGAAAUUCAUCUAGUAAAACUUGUAAUUAGCACUUCAAUCAUUCAUUAUCUAUCAUAACUCAUCAAAUUACAACUAUAUCAUAAAUGGGUAAAUUUUUUAAACUUUAAUUUCAUUUAAAAUAAAUGGUAGAAACAUGAAAUUCAAGCUUCAAUAAGCAUAAAAAUACGAAAAUAAUUAAAAACGGGGCAAGAAAUCACUUACAAUUGAGCUUAGAAAAAUCAAGAACCCUAGGUAUGAUGACAUGGAAUUUUUGGCAGCAAGGGUCUAAUUCGAAGAAGAUGAACACUUGUUUUCAUCUUAUUUUGUCUUUUAUUCAAUUUUGACAAAAAAGCCCUUGACCCACUUACUUAGAUAUUUUUCUAGAAUUACCCUUAUGUGUCCAUAACACUAAUUUAUGGUCUACUUGCCACAUAAACACUUCCAAUUUCUUGUAAUAAUUCAAUUAAGUCCUUUAAUCACUAAUUAGACACACUUUGCAUUUUUCUCAAUUUAGUCCUAAAAAUUCAAUUAGGCACUAAAUCAUUAAAAUUUCCUAUCCAUAUUUUCACACAAUAUUUCAAUCAAUCGGUAAUUAAUAAAAAUUUAUAAAAUUAAACUAUUUCACUUUGAAUUUGUGGUUACGAAACCACUAUUCUGAUUAGGCCCUAUUUCGGGCUAUCACAUUGCCUACUAGGUUAACACGUUCCAUAAGGGGCAAGCUUAGAAGGAAGCUCAAUAUUACAUUUGGGAUGAACCGUACUUGUGGAAACACUAUUCAAACUAGAUAAUAAGACAAUGUGUUCCAGAAACCGAGGUAGCUUCUAUCCUUACUUUUUGUCGCACAAAAGCUUAUAGAGGUCACUUUGGCUCUAAAUGGACUACUCAUAAGGUAUUGGAGUAUGGGCUAUACUGGCCCACAAUUUUUUGAGACGCAUAUAAUUUCUGUAGGUCCUGCGAUAAAUGCCAACAAACAGGUAACAUAAGUAAGUGAAAUCUAAUGCCCCUAUCUCCAAUUCAUGUAUGUGAGAUUUUUGAUGUGCGGGGCAUCGACUUCAUGGGUCCGUUUAUUUCCUCAUUUAGAAAUAUGUAUAUAAUUCUUGUAGUAGACUAUGUUUCUAAGUGGAUAAAAGCAAAUCCUACUCGCAAUGACAAUGCUAAAACUGUCGUAAAGUUUCUAAAAAGAACUAUUUUUUCUAAGUUUGGCACACCUUGAGCCUUGAUCAGUGAUCGUGGAACCCAUUUUUGCAAUAAAGUCAUGGUGGCACUUAUGAAAAAAUAUUGUGUUCACCACUAUAUAGCUAUAGUAAACAAACGGCUAAGCGAAAGUCUCGAACAGAGAAAUCAAGACCAUUUUAAAGAAAACAGUUUGGCCUAUCGAACGACGUAUAAGAGACCAAUUGGCAUGACCCCAUAUCAGCUUGUUUUUGGCAAGGCUUGUCAUCUUCCGGUAGAAUUAGAACAUAAGGCUUACUGGCUUGUACGACAACGUAACAUAGAGUUAGAACCCGCGAUGAGGGCAAGAAAAUUAGACAUCCAAUAAUUAGAGGAAAUUCGUAAUGAUGCCUAUGAUAAUGCUCGUAUUAUAGGGACAAAACAAAAUUGUUCCAUGACAAGAAAAUAUCUCGGAAGCAUUUUUUGAUAGGACAAAAAGUGUUACUUUUACAACUCUGUGUUAAAAUUGUUCCCAGGUAAGCUUCGGUCUCAAUGGCAAGGACCUUUAUUGUAACCGAAUUAUUCACACGUGGUGUAGUUGAAAUAAAGAGUGAAGAGUCAGGAAAACGAUUCACAGUCAAUGGCCAACAGUUGAAACCAUUUUACGAGAAUUUUCAAGCCCACACAGUUGGAAAAAUUUAGCUAGAACCUCUAUAGUACCAUUUGGGGCGUCAAGCUAACGACAUAAAACAAGCACUUAAUGGAAGGCAACCCAAUUUUUAUUUUUAUUAUAUUAUAUUAUUAUAUUAUUAUAUUAUUAUUUAUCACUUUAAUUUGUUUGGAUAAUAAUAAAUUUCUCUUCUUCUAUCUAGGUAAACCGGCGAGAAAAAAACUCAGGAAUUGACAUGUUUUCACAAACAUCUCUUAUUUUACCCUAAUCCAAGUAGGUAUAGAGCAUCCUUACUUCAUACUUACCCAAAACCUGCAUCCAAGCACCCUUCCUUCUACAGCUUCAAACCCUAUACUUUUCUCUAUUUUUACCCAAAAAAAUAACAGCCACCGUUAACCUUCUCCCUCAUCCCACCACCGAUUUUUCCCACCACUAUGGUUAGGACUAGAGGCCGUGCCAUCGUCGAACCCUCCUUCGCUGUAAACAGCCACCAGCGCCAAUUUUUGGUACCCCAACACGUCAACUUAAACAACGUCGCACCAUUCCCCUCUCCCCUUCCUCCACCGUCGCCCCC
rnacentral:lncRNA from 1 species